UGCCAGCCGCCGCGGUAAGACGGAGGGUCCAAGCGUUAUCCGGAUUUAUUGGGUUUAAAGGGUGCGCAGGCGGAACUUUAAGUCAGUGGUGAAAUCUUGCCGCUUAACGGUAAAAUUGCCAUUGAUACUGAAGUUCUUGAAUGUAGUUGAGGUAGGCGGAAUGUGUUGUGUAGCGGUGGAAUGCGUAGAUAUCUGGAGGAACACCCGUGGCGAAAGCGGCUCACUGGCGCAAUACUGACGCUGAGAUGCGAAAGCGUGGGGAGCAAACAGGAUUAGAUA
rnacentral:rRNA from 1 species